AGUGAACGCUGGCGGUAGGCCUAACACAUGCAAGUCGAACGGCAGCACAGUAAGAGCUUGCUCUUACGGGUGGCGAGUGGCGGACGGGUGAGGAAUACAUCGAAAUCUACUUUUUCGUGGGGGAUAACGUAGGGAAACUUACGCUAAUACCGCAUACGACCUACGGGUGAAAGCAGGGGAUCUUCGGACCUUGCGCGAUUGAAUGAGCCGAUGUCGGAUUAGCUAGUUGGCGGGGUAAAGGCCCACCAAGGCGACGAUCCGUAGCUGGUCUGAGAGGAGGAUCAGCCACACUGGAACUGAGACACGGUCCAGACUCCUACGGGAGGCAGCAGUGGGGAAUAUUGGACAAUGGGCGCAAGCCUGAUCCAGCCAUACCGCGUGGGUGAAGAAGGCCUUCGGGUUGUAAAGCCCUUUUGUUGGGAAAGAAAGGCAGCAGGUUAAUACCCCGCUGUUCUGACGGUACCCAAAGAAUAAGCACCGGCUAACUUCGUG
rnacentral:rRNA from 1 species